UUAAGUCAGAUGUGAAAGACCCGGGGCGUUAACCUCGGAAAUUGCAUUUGAAACUAGGCAGGCUAGAGUCUUGUAGAGGGGGGUAGGAAGUUUCAGGUGUAGCGGUGAAAUGCGUAGAGAUCUGAAGGAAUACCAGUGGCGAAGGCGGCCCCCUGGACAAAGACUGACGCUCAGAUGCGAAAGCGUGGGGAGCAAACAGGAUUAGAUACCCCUGGUAG
rnacentral:rRNA from 1 species